rnacentral:lncRNA from 1 species
AACAAGCUAAAGAUUUUCCUUAAUUUGUCAACUCCACAGAUAUCGACUCAACUACUAAUACCUUGAAUCUUUCUUCUCUCCCAGCUUAUAAAUAGCUAGCAAUAUUCCACCUAUGGUACACAUCCUCUCUGCUACAGAUAUAUAGCCUGGAUUUAAUUCUUUUUGUAGCAUAUUUUACAUAAAUGGCUCGUUUAAGCACAGUCCCGUUCAUCUUCUUUCUCAUUUUGAUUUGUCACGCACAGUCUUUUGAAGCCAGAAAGUUCUUGAGCUUGGAGAAGAACGAAAACCCUUCUUUGAAAGACAAUACUACGCCAUCUUACUAUCGUGUUAGUGAAGGCCAUGCAAUAGUUAUCGAUACAGGGUUCAUCAUUUCCCACCUUUCCAAGAUCGAUCGAAUUUUGCGUUCCGCCCCCAGUCCUGGAACAGGAAACUAGAUUAUAUCACUUUUGUAUCACAUCAUAUAUAUAUGUGUGUGGGUGUGGGUGGGUGGGUGGGUGUGAAAAAUUGCAUUUUAAAUUGCAACUUUCAGUAUGUAUAUAUGUUCGCAGAAUAUAUUUUAGGUUUGAAUAAAAAGUUGCUCAUUUGGCCGUUAGUAUAGCUUGUAUUCUUGCGUUAGUUUCUCUCCUUA